AGGGCGCUGCGAGCUACACUGAUUGCUUGGACAUGUGCCGCUCCUUCAAUCGUGAAGCACUGAACCUGGACGACAGCAGGGCGCUAUUAUCACCAAUUCUCAAAAGAGACACCGUUGUCCCUAUAAAGAGACUGAAAUUAAUGGAGACACUUUAAUGAAACUAAGACUACGAAAGCUUAAAUAUUCCCCAAAAUGAAGGAUGAAGUUAAAUUUAUAUGAUUACAAGAAAACCUAAAGACUGAGAUGCCAGCAAGACCACAGACACCACAAGACUCUGGGGAUUUUUCUACCUUUCCGCUCGCUGUUGAGAAGCCUGUAUCUACUAGGCAGCCGACUCCACUCACCUCUCACUUGGCGCUGCCUCUAGAUUCCAGCGGUGGCUUUCCACUGUUGGUCUUCGACUUUCCCUCACCGAUGUCCGGCUGUUGCUGGUGUAGUCUCCAUGCUGGUCUUUCCGACAGAGUGCUGGCGGUUUCGUCAUCCGGCCAACUGAGUCUUCAGUGUUUGUUAAUAAACUUUAAUAUUCAUUCACCUGCUGUUGGAUCCUGGUCUUACUUCUGA
ensembl:lncRNA